AAAAUACGACUCUCGGCAACGGAUAUCUCGGCUCUCGCAUCGAUGAAGAACGUAGCGAAAUGCGAUACUUGGUGUGAAUUGCAGAAUCCCGUGAACCAUCGAGUCUUUGAACGCAAGUUGCGCCCGAAGCUGUCAGGCCGAGGGCACGUCUGCCUGGGCGUCACG
rnacentral:rRNA from 1 species